AUUGAACGCUGGCGGCAUGCUUUACACAUGCAAGUCGAACGAGUGGCGAACGGGUGAGUAACAUAUCGGAACGUCCCGGGUAAUGGGGGAUAACUAAUCGAAAGAUUAGCUAAUACCGCAUAUUAUUCGAGCGGCCGAGAUGUGAUUAGCUGGUUGGUGGGGUAAAGGCCUACCAAGGCGACGAUCCGUAGCGGGGCUGAGAGGAUGACCAGCCACACGGGAACUUGGACACGGUCCAGACUCCUCCGGGAGGCAGCAGUGGGGAAUUUUGCACAAUGGGCGCAAGCCUGAUCCAGCCAUGCCGCGUGUCUGAAGAAGGCCUUCGGGUUGUAAAGGACUUUUGUCAGGGAGGCGGUACCUGAAGAAUAAGCACCGGCUAACUACGUGCCAGCAGCCGCGGUAAUUC
rnacentral:rRNA from 1 species